rnacentral:rRNA from 1 species
GACGAACCACACAAACGUUAUUCGGAAUUACUGGGCUUAAAGGGUGCGUAGGCUGCGCAGAAAGUUGGGUGUGAAAUCCCUCGGCUCAACCGAGGAACUGCGUCCAAAACUACUGUGCUCGAGGGAGACAGAGGUGAGCGGAACUUAGGGUGGAGCGGUGAAAUGCGUUGAUAUCCUAAGAACACCCGUGGCGAAAGCGGCUCACUGGGUCUCUUCUGACGCUGAGGCACGAAAGCUAGGGUAGCGAACGGG